AGGCAGGGAAACUACCUCUCAGAAGUUCGAAUGGUUGUCUACUGUAAUCAAGUAUUGCUUUUCAUUGAAGGUGUCACAUCCUUUUAUCUAGGAGCAAAGCUGCGUAUUCAGUCCUGGCCAGUAAACACGUUCUUGAGUCCAGUUAAGACAGAGGGCUUCACCAUUACUGGCAGAAGGAAGGGGAAUAACCGUCUAUCAGCUGCUUCCUCCAUCCAGAUCUGAAAGUUGCAUGGUAGCUUUGCAGAGUUGGGGGACUGGAUCAGGUCCUUACGGUGGCCCAUCAGUCUCCUUAGAGAUUGAUCAUUUGCAAUUACAUUGCACCUUUCAUCUACAAGGCCACCUCCUGUGUCAGACAGGGAAACAGAGGUAUGGAGAAGCUUGAAUGAGCUAUACUUUAUCCAUCUCAAAGGUUCACUGAACUAUAAAAGAAAGGGGGCAGAGAACCCCACAUUAUCUCUUUCACCGAAGACAAAGAGCAGCACCUUGGGGCUUCUGGAGCAACUCCUGACCAAGGUGGGGUCAGCCACCCCCAUCAUGCUGGAAGACUGUGGAUGAGAAAAGCCAUCUUGAACAA